CAGUAGCCGCGGUAAUACGGAGGGUGCAAGCGUUAAUCGGUAUUACUGGGCGUAAAGCGCACGCAGGCGGUUUGUUAAGUCAGAUGUGAAAUCCCCGAGCUUAACUUGGGAACUGCAUUUGAAACUGGCAAGCUAGAGUCUUGUAGAGGGGGGUAGAAUUCCAGGUGUAGCGGUGAAAUGCGUAGAGAUCUGGAGGAAUACCGGUGGCGAAGGCGGCCCCCUGGACAAAGACUGACGCUCAGGUGCGAAAGCGUGGGGAGCAAACAGGAUUAGAUACCCGCGUAGUCCCUGUCUCUUAUAC
rnacentral:rRNA from 1 species